rnacentral:lncRNA from 1 species
AGUAAGUUUUUCAAGGGUCUUAUUUCUUCCUUUUCUUGGUCUUCAUUUAGACAAGUUGUCUCACCAGUACAACACUCGUGCUAAUCAACAAAAGAAGAUGGAUCAUCUAGAUCAAGAGAAUCGUGAACUUCGUGAGGAAGUGAAUACUUUAAGGGACAAUUUUGAAAGGCUCACUGUUAUGAUGGAAACCCUGGUGGCUGCUCAGAAUCAACCUUCUCCUCCUCCUACU